UUAUGGCCAUAUCAUGUUGAAACAUCAGUUCUUGUACAAUCACUGAAGUUAAGCAAUGUCAAGUCUGGUCAGUACCUAGAUGGGUGACUGCAUGAGAAUACCAGGUACUGUAA